GUACGAUCUGACUGAACUCCCUUACGGAUCGGUUCGCUCUAGCUGCCGCUCCCAAGGAUUCAAAAGAAAUCGCAUUGUGUGAUAAGAAAUUUUUUUUCUUUUUUCUGCACAGGCUCAUAUAAUAGAAGUAACUUUUGUUAUUUUUUCAGAGAAUUCAUACAGCCAUUAAUUAUCCAAACCUAUUUCUCAGUGCUUUUCAAUGGCGUGAUCUCGGCUUACUGCAACCUCCGCCUCCCAGGUUCAAGCAAUUCUUCUGCCUCAGCCUCCCGAGUAGCUGGGAUUACAAGCGCCUGCCACCACACCUGGCUAAUUUUUGUAGUUUUAGUAAAGAUGGGGUUUCACCAUGGUGGUCAGGCUGGUCUUGAACUCCUGACCUCAGGUGAUCCGCCCACCUCGGCCUCCCAAAGUGCUGGGAUUACAGACAUAAGCCACCGCGCCUGGCCCUCAGUGCUCUUUUCAUUCCACUUAAGAAAUUGGAACACACCAGGAUGAGGAUGAUGAUGCCAAAACUAGAUUGAUGGCUCACAUCAUCUAGGGUACAAAUACAC
rnacentral:lncRNA from 1 species